rnacentral:rRNA from 1 species
AACGCGAAGAACCUUACCAGGUCUUGACAUCCACCGAAUCCUGUAGAGAUACGGGAGUGCCCUUCGGGGAGCGGUGAGACAGGUGGUGCAUGGUUGUCGUCAGCUCGUGUCGUGAGAUGUUGGGUUAAGUCCCGCAACGAGCGCAACCCUUGUGAAUAGUUGCUACGAAAGAGCACUCUAUUCAGACCGCCGUUGACAAAACGGAGGAAGGUGGGGAUGACGUCAAAUCAUCAUGCCCCUUAUGACCUGGGCUACACACGUACUACAAUGGUCGUCAACAGAGGGAAGCAAGACCGCGAGGUGGAGCGAACCCCUAAAAACGAUCUCAGUUCAGAUUGCAGGCUGAAACUCGCCUGCAUGAAGAUGGAAUUGCUAGUAAUCGCGGAUCAGCAUGCCGCGGUGAAUACGUUCCCGGGUCUUGUACACACCG